UACGUAGGGUGCGAGCGUUAAUAGGAUUUACUGGGCGUAAAGCGUGCGCAGGCGGCCCGUUAAGACAGGUGUGAAAUCCCUGGGCUCAACCUAGGAAUUGCGCUUGUGACUGGCGGGCUCGAGUACGGUAGAGGGGGGUGGAAUUCCUGGUGUAGCAGUGAAAUGCGUAGAGAUCAGGAGGAACACCGAUGGCGAAGGCAGCCCCCUGGGCCUGUACUGACGCUCAUGCACGCAAGCGUGGGGAGCAAACAGG
rnacentral:rRNA from 1 species